rnacentral:lncRNA from 1 species
GCAAUAACUACGUUGUGUGUUUUCCCUGUUACAGACUUGAGCUGACACCUUUACUUCACUGUAUGGGUGGACACAGAAGAAUCAUGCAGUAUUGCCUUCAGCCUUCUCUCAAAGACAUCCUCUCUUGGAUUGAGCUAUAUUUUAAGAAUUAAAAAGAGAAAAGAAGAGGGAAAAACCUUGAAAUAGAGAUUUUAAUUCAAAGGCAUUCAUAAUUCUGGACAUUGUCACUGGAUGUUUCUGCAUCAAAUUCCCCAAUGUUGUGUGGUGCCACAGGCUGAUGUACUUGAAUGACUGAAGCUCAAGUAUCAUGCAAGACCACUUCUGCUCACCCAAAGAUGACUGUCUGCAUUGAAGCUGUCAGCAGAGGUCCCUGUGGUCUGCCAAAACCUGGAUCUUCCAUUUUUCUUAUCUUUGAGGAUAUGAAGACAGGCAAAACUAUCAGAUCAUCAUCGCACAAAGAAUUUAUGAAAGAAAAAUGUUUCCUUGUCUUGGAGUUGGGUAAUUAAAACUUUCUUCCUGAUCAGUUCACUGAAUACCAAAGCAGACAUUUACCAUCUCUCUUUAGUACCCGGAAUUCCAAUUUUUUUUCUAAUGGAAAAGAAAAAAACCUGUGUUUUAGGGAACUAACACACUCAUGACUUACCUGUGCUCUUUGAAAAAAGCAGUGAUAAUCUUUAGCAUUGCUCUCUUGACUUUGUUUCAUCGUGCUUUUUAAUGCAAAUUUCCUAAUCUAACUUGUAAAACAUUUAAUAUUUAGAAUAUACUCCUUUAAGAUCCAUCAAAAGAAGCAAAGCUGCAUAACAAUGCCUGGUGCUGGCGCAUUGUGAGUCUGCUACAAAGGAAUGAGGUGAUUCUUUCUUUCAGGUCACAAGGUCAGGCUUCACUGCAUUAAUUUUGCUGAGUCUCUUUGUUAUUUAUAACAAACAAGGUCAUUUAUUUUCAUUUCCUUGUUUCUAAUUGCAUGCAUCUCCUUUGGAGUAUGAACUCAGUAAACAGGUGGCUGAAAUGCUGGGGAAAAUGCUUGAAGCUGUUCCAGAAAAAAGGGCAUGUCCCACACUGGUAAAGCAAUUUGAUGAGUUAGAGAUUUAGUCAUAGCAGGAUGUGCACCUGCUUGAAAGCAAACACGCUUCUCUUUGGCACUCACAGAUACAUGCAAAUUAAAAGAGAUUAUUUCACUCUGAAUGGUGGGCUGAUAUUUGAUCAAAUUUAACAUUUUCUAUUUUAAAUAAAGCCUUGGUGUAUAUUAGUGAAACA